AGGACGAACGCUUGCGGCGUGCCUAAGAAAUGCAAGUCGAACGGGGGCUUCGGCCCUAGUGGCGAACGGUCGCGUAACACGUGGGCAACCUGCCCUGAAGCGGGGGACAACAGUCCGAAAGGAUUGCUAAUACCGCAUGUGGCUCUUGAAGGCAUCUUCAAGAUCUAAAGGCGAAAGUCACUUCAGGAUGGGCCCGCGGCCUAUCAGCUUGUUGGCGGGUAACGCCCACAAGGCGACGAC
rnacentral:rRNA from 1 species